CAGUCGCCGCGGGAAUACGAAGGGGGCUAGCGUUGUUCGGAAUUACUGGGCGUAAAGCGCGCGUAGGCGGACAUUUAAGUCAGGGGUGAAAUCCCGGGGCUCAACCCCGGAACUGCCUCUGAUACUGGGUGUCUAGAGUUCGGAAGAGGUAAGUGGAAUUGCGAGUGUAGAGGUGAAAUUCGUAGAUAUUCGCAGGAACACCAGUGGCGAAGGCGACUUACUGGUCCGAUACUGACGCUGAGGUGCGAAAGCGUGGGGAGCAAACAGGAUUAGAGACCCCCGUAGUCCCUGUCUCUUAUAC
rnacentral:rRNA from 1 species